UACGUAGGGGGCAAGCGUUGUCCGGAAUCAUUGGGCGUAAAGAGCGCGUAGGCGGCCCUGUAAGUCCGCUGUGAAAGUCCAGGGCUCAACCCUGGGAUGCCGGUGGAUACUGCUGGGCUAGAGUACGGAAGAGGCGAGUGGAAUUCCCGGUGUAGCGGUGAAAUGCGCAGAUAUCGGGAGGAACACCAAUUGCGAAGGCAGCUCGCUGGGACGUCACUGACGCUGAGACGCGAAAGCGUGGGGAGCAAACAGGG
rnacentral:rRNA from 1 species